rnacentral:misc_RNA from 1 species
ACCGAACAAGGUAAGCCUUGAAUAGUUGUGCCUGCCUCAAACUACAAGCAAAUAUUGCCUAGGACAAACCAGAAUGUUUGAGUUCACUAACGUUUAAAGGAGGUUUACACUGCCAUUUUCAUUUCAAUUUUGUGGUGAGGAUCAUAACCUAUCAAUUUGAAAUCAGCUGCCAUAAAAGAAUCUAUGUUCUUCUUCUCAGGAUUAAUCUUCAAAAUCGGAAACGGUUUUGGCAGUUUUUGAAGCUGUUCCUGGAGAGGCCUAACAUGAGUGCUAUAAACAUGAGCAUCCCCGAACACAUGGACAAAAUCACCCGGAGCAAGAUUACAAACGUGAGCAAUCAUGCAUGUAAGGAGGGCAUAAGAUGCAAUGUUGAAUGGCA